rnacentral:lncRNA from 1 species
UUGACGAGCGGCGUCGGCGUCGUCCCGUGUUUCAUUUCCCGCGUUUUUAGCUGCUGGAAGGCCAACCCUGCAGCGUUGUGCGUUCACCGGCUGUUGUCGAAGGAUUACACGGGGUGCGAUUGGAUGGAUGGGUGAGCAACAUACCCAGAGAUGUAGUGCUGCUGCUUACAUGGAAUGGAGUUUGAAAAUAAUGCAAGCAGAGAUCAGUCUCAACGACACGGAUGCUGCAUCGACAUCAACAACAAUGACAAGCGAUUUUCUUGACACCCUGCCUGUUAGCCCAGUCAUAGUUGCAAUUGGUUAGUCCAUCUUUCAUUGCACCUGCCAUCUGUUUGUGGAUAAGGAGCUUAUAACACCAAACGUCUGCUCGAGGCUGGCUAUUGAGUACGUGUUUGCUGCCUGCUACUGCUUUAACAUCAAAAAUGCCGCACAUGUAGGGAUGACCCUUGAAUUUCUUCAAACAUACCUCGUUGGCAUGCCUCGAGACCAUCUGGCUUCAAGCGUGCGAAAUGUCCAACAUCGGCAUUGUGGUGUCUCCGGCAAAUUCAAGUGUUCCUCUCAGUUCCUGGAUUACAAAAAAAAGCAAACUUGU